rnacentral:rRNA from 1 species
UUGGAGUCUGCAACUCGACUCCAUGAAGUCGGAAUCGCUAGUAAUCGCGGAUCAGAAUGCCGCGGUGAAUACGUUCCCGGGCCUUGUACACACCGCCCGUCACACCAUGGGAGUGGGUUGCAAAAGAAGUAGGUAGCUUAACCUUCGGGAGGGCGCUUACCACUUUGUGAUUCAUGACUGGGGUGAAGUCGUAACAAGGUAACCGUAGGGGAACCUGCGGUUGGAUCACCUCCUUACCU